rnacentral:rRNA from 1 species
GAUGAACGCUAGCGGCAGGCCUAACACAUGCAAGUCGAGGGGUAACUAGAGUGAUAGCAAUAUUACUUUGGCUAGACCGGCGCACGGGUGCGUAACACGUAUGCAACCUACCUUAUACUGGGGAAUAACUUCGAGAAAUCGGCGCUAAUACCCCAUAACACUGCGGAGAGGCAGCUACUUGCAGUUAACUCCACUGCGGUAUACGAUGGGCAGGCGUCUAAUUAGCAAGUUGGUGAGGUAACGGCUCACCAAGGCCACGAUUGGUAGGCGUGCUGAGAGGCUGAUCCCACACACAGGUAAUGAGACACGGACCAGACUCCUACGGGAGGCAGCAGUGAGAAAUAUUGCUCAAUGGACGAAAGUCUGACGCAGCCAUGCCGAGUGCAGGAGGACGGCCCUAUGGGUUGUAAACUGCUUUUGUACGGGAAUAAACCCUUCUACGUGUAGGAGGCUGAAGGUACCGUAAGAAUAAGCACCGGCUAACUCCGUGCCAGCAGCCGCCGUAA